AGCAGCCGCGGUAAUUCCAGCUCCAAUAGCGUAUAUUAAAGUUGUUGCAGUUAAAAAGCUCGUAGUUGAAUUUCGGGGUCAGCAGGUUGGUCGUGCCAAUGGUAUGCACUGGCCUUGCUGAUUCCUCCCUCUUGAUGAGCCGUAAUGCCAUUAAUUUGGUGUUGCGGGGAAUCAGGACUGUUACUUUGAAAAAAUUAGAGUGUUUAAAGCAGGCAAGCGCUUGAAUACAUUAGCAUGGAAUAAUGAAAUAGGACGUUCGAUCCUAUUUUGUUGGUUUCUAGGAUUGACGUAAUGAUUAAUAGGGAUAGUUGGGGGCAUUAGUAUUCAAUUGUCAGCGGUGAAAUUCUUGGAUUUAUUGAAGACUAACUACUGCGAAAGCAUUUGCCAAGGAUGUUUUCAUUAAUCAAGAACGAAAGUUAGGGGAUCGAAGACGAUCAGAUACCGUCGUAGUCUUAACCAUAAACUAUGCCGACUAGGGAUUCGGAUGAUGUUAAUUUUUUAAUGACUCU
rnacentral:sRNA from 1 species